rnacentral:lncRNA from 1 species
UUUCUUCCCUACGCCUGGCGAGCCCUAGAAUUGUUUGGAAGGAAAAGAGCAAGAAGGGGGCGUGGUGUAGGGAGUGGGGCGGGGCUACGGAGCGGCCUGGCUUAAAUAUUGUUUCACCUUUUGGCGCCAAAUGAUUGGUAUUCAUACUUACUCAAGCCGGUUGGAGAUGAGUACCCUGCUGAAUUAUACCGAGUAGAGGAAUCUUCGCUGAGAGGCAGUCUAGCACGGUGGGGACUGCAGACCAAAGCAUGGAAGAGUGAAGGUUCUAAAGUCAGAUGUCCUGGCCUUGAAUCCUGCGUCUCCCAAUUAAUAACCCGAGACCUCAGGCAAGUGAUGCAGUCUCUCUUACCUCGGUCUUGGGUUCUUGUGAGGCUUACAUAAGUUAAUAUAUGUAAUCCAUACUCAAUACACGUUAUUUUGUUAAUACAGGGUAGCCCAGAAAAUCUAGGAAUGUUGUUCAAAAUGCCUCCUCAUGUGCUAAUGAAAAUGCAGCUCCACCUAAGAAUGUUUCACUUCCAUGCCUUCCACCCACCCUUGCUGGACUCAGCAUUGAGUCAUUCAGCAAGCAUCUGAACACUUACUGUACACGGUGAUAGACAAAAACAUUUAAAGAGGCAGCCCCUAGCCCCAAAGUAUGUUCCCUACUUCUCAAAAGGUCAAUCAAAAUAAGAGAAUGCUAUUACAAAUGGGACCCUAUCAGGAAGCAUGCAAUAGGCCUUCUGGCUUACUGGACUGGAAUCAUCCUUUAGAGAUAGAUCACCUUUGAAUUCAACCUCCUUUACUUAUUGGCUGUGUGACCUCAACUAGGUUACUUGACUUCCAUGAGCCUCCAGUUUUCCAAUAGGUAAAAUGAGUGGGGGAAAGUUUCAAGGGUUAUUUGAGAUAAUUUUGGAACAAAAGGGGUCUGGC